UUUGAGUAAAUUUAGACUAAUUGUAAAAUGUUUCAGAUACAUGAAACGAGGGCUGGUAACUACCAUUUCUCAUGGGGCGUGAAUAAUACCUACAGCUGGGAUCAAGCGCACUCUUACGGCAACGUCUUGGCAGAGGCUUCUAACUAGUUAUUAAAAGACAAGGAUAAGGAAAACUUGGUUAUCGCCAAAGGUGGGAUCCAGUUCAUGUGGACAACGACCUGGAGGUAGUCAUCCGUGUACACUGUUCUACACCAACUGGUACUUCACUAGAGGGCGCGGUGACCACAGCCAGAAAGCAGGGAAGGCGACGGACAGUCUCGGUGCUGAAGAACAUCUAUAAAGACGGCAUAAACAGGCACGACAUUGCCUGUCACCACGUAAAGUCUCUCGUCUGAGACCAGCCUCUGAUAUUUUU